CCCACGCAUUGUGAGUAUUUAUUAAAAUUGUACUGAAUGAUUAGUCUCGAAAACCGGAGCGUUUGAAAAUUGUGGGAGGCAACGCGGAUGUCUAGACACUACUGAAUGAUCUUUCCAUUUUGAUGUGUGGUUAAAUGUUUCCUUUCUAGAUUGCCAAAGAAGUUUAAUGGCGUCAGAGCCUUGGCGUGAAGUCAGCUGAGAGAGCUGCUGCCAUAAGGGAGAUUUAUAAACCCCUCCAUGACCAUGUCUACCAUCUACAGGUAGGAAGGAAGCCUACAAUACUUUAGUCUCCAUACACACUAAGAUUGUAAAGUGUAAUAUUUGACUUACACUCUUUAUGAAUCCUGUUGGGCUCCAGAGUUUAAGCAGAUGAUGGAUUAUUGUUGAAGUGAUGAGACCAGUAGAGGUUACGUUUUCCAUAAAGAGUUCCUAUUUGAAAUAGGUGGUCCAUGUCAUUAUUUUAAAUCUUUUGAAGCCCCAAGGAUCUUGCGCUUGCCUGUGUUUAAAAAAAAAUGUACCGCUUCUGUGAUGAGCUGGAACACUUUGAACAGUCUACAGACCCAACAGAAUGAACUACAGGGUAUGCUUCCUCUUUCAUAUAAAAUACAUCUGUAGGCUAUUAGAUAUGGAGACCUCAGGCAAAAUAUUCAAUGUAUCAAGUGUUACCUGUGGUAACUCAUGGUCCUUUUGUUUGCGAUGUUCUUUCGUCCACACAGAUCCUCCUGAACGAGCUAGGAUUUGACAAUGGCUUUUACCACCCUUCUCCGUGUGCAGUAUCUGUAGCCUCUCACAUCUCUGCUCUACCCUAACUGUUGUGGACGCUGCCUAGACAGCCACAAGGCCUUCAUGGUGAAAUGACAUUCAUGAAGACCUGGACCUCGUCUACCAUUACGACAAUGCAGAGGUCACUCAAUGUGUCUCUGGGGAAAAAGUUUGCUGAAGGGAACCUCUACUUUGGUGACAUGAAACAGGUGCUUCUGAGUGAGAGUGUCUACAGAGGUAGAGCAGGGAAUGACAGAGGGUCUCCUAUACAGAGGACAACACAUGCACGGUGCCCUGCCCAUCUCCUCUGGCCAGUGCUGGAACCUCAUUGUCUGGAUGAGGGCCUCACAGGAGAGGAAAAAACUGUGCCCCAUGUGCAAAAAGAAGCCUACCUUGGUCGAGGGACAGAGCUUCACAGAUGGUUUCACCAGUGACUCAGGGAUGUCUCUUCUACAGGAUGUAUCAUGCGUUCCGCGUUAACUUAAUGCUGCUGGUCCAUAUGUAUUUGUGUAUGAUUUGUUUCUGGAUGUCUGCUUAUCGUGGACAUUAUCGCAUGUGCCAAAAAAAGAGUUAUAGAGAGGAAACGUGGUAGACAUUAGGAACAUUAUUUCUACAUAACACUGCACUACAUACUUCAUUACGCAGUGUCACAUUUAUUCCAAUCUAUUCUAAAUUAUCAUGUCCAUAAAAAAUGUGUAGCCUGUGAUUUGAAUGGUCUUUUGUCCCGGUAGGGAUAUUACAUAUCCAAAAGUCAAGAGACACUAGUGAAGAAAACCUGAGCGUUCACCUUUGUACCUUACUUUUAGUGGGCUUGCUUCUUGUUCACAGAAAUUGGGAAAUAUUUUAAAUGCUGUAAACUUUAUACAUAAUGUAAGUAAUAUAAAUACAUUCAUAGCUGUAGUUAUCUUAGUACGUCAGUAAUAUAUUUUUAGAAAACAAUAAUGCACAGGCAUUUCUCUGUAUUGGUAAAAUCAAUAAUAUUGAAAGGAUCAACAACACAUUUACACACCAAAUAUCUGAAGAAUACAGUUCGUACAUAGUAUAAAUCAUAUUUAAUUUAAUAAACCAUAAUUGAUAAUCAA